UACGUAGGGGGCAAGCGUUAUCCGGAUUUACUGGGUGUAAAGGGAGCGUAGACGGCAGUGCAAGUCUGGAGUGAAAGGCGGGGGCUCAACCCCCGGACUGCUCUGGAAACUGUACGGCUGGAGUGCAGGAGAGGUAAGUGGAAUUCCUAGUGUAGCGGUGAAAUGCGUAGAUAUUAGGAGGAACACCAGUGGCGAAGGCGGCUUACUGGACGGCAACUGACGCUGAGGCUCGAAAGCGUGGGGAGCAAACAGG
rnacentral:rRNA from 1 species